GAUGAACGCUAGCGGGAGGCUUAACACAUGCAAGUCGAGGGAUAGCGGUAGCAAUAUCGCGAAAACCGGCGCACGGGUGAGUAACGCGUAUGCAACCUGCCCUCUACCGGGGGAUAGCCCGUCGAAAGGCGGAUUAAUACCCCAUAAUACUGUAAUCCUGCAUGGGAUAUCAGUUAAAGCUUAGGUGGUAAAGGAUGGGCAUGCGUGACAUUAGCUAGUUGGUAGGGUAACGGCCUACCAAGGCUACGAUGUCUAGGGGUUCUGAGAGGAAGGUCCCCCCACACUGGUACUGAGACACGGACCAGACUCCUACGGGAGGCAG
rnacentral:rRNA from 1 species